rnacentral:rRNA from 1 species
UACGUAGGCAGCAAGCGUUGUUCGGAGUUACUGGGCGUAAAGGGUGUGUAGGCGGUUGGAUAAGUGUGGUGUGAAAUCUCCCGGCUUAACUGGGAGGGUGCGCUACAAACUGUCUGACUAGAGUGUGGGAUGGGAAAGUGGAAUUCCUGGUGUAGCGGUGAAAUGCGUAGAUAUCAGGAGGAACACCGGUGGUGUAGACGGCUUUCUGGACCAUAACUGACGCUGAGACACGAAAGCGUGGGUAGCAAACAGG